rnacentral:rRNA from 1 species
CGUGUAGGCGGUUUAAUAAGUCAGAUGUAAAAGCCCCCGGCUCAACCGGGGAUGGUCAUUUGAAACUGUUAGGCUUGAGUGCGAGAGAGGGUAGUGGAAUCCCCAGUGUAGCGGUGAAAUGCGUAGAUAUUGGGAAGAACACCAGUAGCGAAGGCGGCUACCUGGCUCGCAACUGACGCUAAGGCGCGAAAGCGUGGGGAGCAAACA